AUUGAACGCUGGCGGCAGGCCUAACACAUGCAAGUCGAGCGGAUGAAGGGAGCUUGCUCCUGGAUUCAGCGGCGGACGGGUGAGUAAUGCCUAGGAAUCUGCCUGGUAGUGGGGGAUAACGUCCGGAAACGGGCGCUAAUACCGCAUACGUCCUGAGGGAGAAAGUGGGGGAUCUUCGGACCUCACGCUAUCAGAUGAGCCUAGGUCGGAUUAGCUAGUUGGUGGGGUAAAGGCCUACCAAGGCGACGAUCCGUAACUGGUCUGAGAGGAUGAUCAGUCACACUGGAACUGAGACACGGUCCAGACUCCUACGGGAGGCAGCAGUGGGGAAUAUUGGACAAUGGGCGAAAGCCUGAUCCAGCCAUGCCGCGUGUGUGAAGAAGGUCUUCGGAUUGUAAAGCACUUUAAGUUGGGAGGAAGGGCAGUAAAUUAAUACCUUGCUGUUUUGACGUUACCAAAAGAAUAAGCACCGGCUAACUUCGUG
rnacentral:rRNA from 1 species